rnacentral:piRNA from 1 species
CAGCCUGGAAUAAAUGAGAUCUUGUCUCUAA